rnacentral:rRNA from 1 species
UACGUAGGGGGCAAGCGUUGUCCGGAUUUAUUGGGCGUAAAGAGCGUGUAGGCGGCCAGGUAGGUCAGCUGUGAAAACUCGAGGCUUAACCUCGAGACGCCGGCUGAAACCCUCUGGCUAGAGUCCGGAAGAGGAGAGUGGAAUUCCUGGUGUAGCGGUGAAAUGCGCAGAUAUCAGGAAGAACACCCGUGGCGAAGGCGGGUCUCUGGGCCGAUACUGACGCUGAGGAGCGAAAGCGUGGGGAGCGAACAGG